CGAAGUCUGGUGCCAGCAGCCGCGGUAAUUCCAGCUCCAACAGCGUAUAUUAAAGUUGUUGCAGUUAAAAGCUCGUAGUUGAAUUUCGGGGUUAGUAGGUUGGUCGUGCCUUUGGUAUGUACUGGUCUCACUGAUUCCUCCUUCUUGAAGAACUGUAAUGUCAUUAAUUUGGUGUUGUAGGGAAACAGGACUGUUACUUUGAAAAAUUAGAGUGUUUAAAGCAGGCUAACGCCUGAAUACAUUAGCAUGGAAUAAUGAAAUAGGACGUUUGAUCCUAUUUUGUUAGGUUUCUAGGAUUGACGUAAUGAUUAAUAGGGAUAUUUGGGGGCAUUAGUAUUCAAUUGUCAGAGGUGAAAUUCUUGGAUUUAUUGAAGACUGACUACUGCGAAAGCAUUUGCCAAGGAUGUUUUCAUUAAUCAAGAACGAAAGUUAGGGGGAUCGAAGACGAUCAGAUACCGUCGUAGUCUUAACCAUAAACUAUGCCGACUAGGGAUCGGAUGAUGUUAAUUUUUUAAUGACUCAUUCGGCGCCUUACG
rnacentral:rRNA from 1 species